rnacentral:rRNA from 1 species
CAGCCGCCACGGUAAUACGAAGGGGGCUAGCGUUGUUCGGAUUUACUGGGCGUAAAGGGCGCGUAGGCGGACUGAUAAGUCAGGGGUGAAAUCCCAAGGCUCAACCUUGGAACUGCCUUUGAUACUGUUUGUCUUGAGUUCGAGAGAGGUAAGUGGAACUCCACGUGUAGCGGUGAAAUGCGUAGAGAUGUGGAGGAACACCAGUGGCGAAGGCGACUCUCUGGUCUGUAACUGACGCUGAGGAGCGAAAGCGUGGGGAGCGAACAGGAUUAGAUACCCCCGUAGUCCCUGUCUCUUAUAC